AUUGAACGCUGGCGGCAGGCCUAACACAUGCAAGUCGGGCGAGUGGCGGACGGGUGAGUAAUGUAUGGGGACCUGCCUGAUGGCGGGGGAUAACUACUGGAAACGGUAGCUAAUACCGCAUACCAUCAGAUGAACCCAUAUGGGAUUAGCUUGUAGGUGAGGUAACGGCUCACCUAGGCGACGAUCCCUAGCUGGUCUGAGAGGAUGACCAGCCAAAAUGGGACUGAGACACGGCCCAGACUCCUACGGGAGGCAGCAGUGGGGAAUUUUGGACAAUGGGCGAAAGCCUGAUGCAGCCAUGCCGCGUGUAUGAAGAAGGCCUUAGGGUUGUAAAGUACUUUCGGCGGGGAGGCGGUACCCGCAGAAGAAGCACCGGCUAACUCCGUGCCAGCAGCCGCGGUAAUAC
rnacentral:rRNA from 1 species